GGGCACUGGGCACUGGGCACUGGGCAGUGGGCAGACGGUGGGAGCAGAUGGGAAACGUGGUCGUUUGGAUGCCGGUGGGGACACGUGCCCGCGUUCGGAUGUACGGAGACACGUGCGAGAAGCUCGGACCGCUGCCCACAACAAAGAGUCGCCUUUCGUUACAGGAGUCGACUUGGUAACUUGGUUUUUUCUCUUCUCUCUCUCUCCGAUAAUAUACCAUCUUUGAUUACUUUGAACAUCUUAAAAAAAUAUUUAUGGAUAAACUUUUGGUCUCUUUUAUUCAAUCGUUACUAUUUUUUACAAAUC
rnacentral:lncRNA from 1 species